rnacentral:rRNA from 1 species
GCAUAUCAAUAAGCGGAGGAAAAGAAACCAACAGGGAUUGCCCUAGUAACGGCGAGUGAAGCGGCAACAGCUCAAAUUUGAAAUCUGGCCCUCGUGGUCCGAGUUGUAAUUUGUAGAGGAUGCUUUUGGUGCGGUGCCUUCCGAGUUCCCUGGAACGGGACGCCAUAGAGGGUGAGAGCCCCGUCUGGUUGGACACCAAUCCUCUGUAAAGCUCCUUCGACGAGUCGAGUAGUUUGGGAAUGCUGCUCUAAAUGGGAGGUAAAUGUCUUCUAAAGCUAAAUACCGGCCAGAGACCGAUAGCGCACAAGUAGAGUGAUCGAAAGAUGAAAAGCACUUUGAAAAGAGGGUUAAAUAGUACGUGAAAUUGUUGAAAGGGAAGCGUUUGUGACCAGACUUGGGCUUGGUUAAUCAUCCAGCGUUCUCGCUGGUGCACUUUGCCAGCCCAGGCCAGCAUCAGUUCGCUGCGGGGGAUAAAAGCUUCGGGAACGUGGCUCUUCGGAGUGUUAUAGCCCGCUGCAUAAUACCCUGUGGCGGACUGAGGUUCGCGCAUCUGCAAGGAUGCUGGCGUAAUGGUCAUCAACGACCCGUCUUGAAACACGGACCAAGGAGUCGUCUUCGUAUGCGAGUGUUCGGGUGUCAAACCCCUACGCGGAAUGAAAGUGAACGGAGGUGGGAGCCUCGGCGCACCAUCGACCGAUCCUGAAGUUUACGGAUGGAUUUGAGUAAGAGCAUACGGGGCCGGACCCGAAAGAAGGUGAACUAUGCCUGUAUAGGGUGAAGCCAGAGGAAACUCUGGUGGAGGCUCGCAGCGGUUCUGACGUGCAAAUCGAUCGUCAAAUAUGGGCAUGGGGGGCGAAAGACUAAUCGAACCUUCUAGUAGCUGGUUUCCGCCGAAG